CGCUGUGAAGAUGCAGUGUACCCGCGGCUAGACGGAAAGACCCCGUGAACCUUUACUACAGCUUGGCACUGAACAUUGACCCUACAUGUGUAGGAUAGGUGGGAGGCUUUGAAGCACGUACGCCAGUAUGUGUGGAGCCGUCCUUGAAAUACCACCCUUGUAGUGUUGAUGUUCUAACGUCGACCCCUUAUCGGGGUUGCGGACAGUGCCUGGUGGGUAGUUUGACUGGGGCGGUCUCCUCCCAAAGAGUAACGGAGGAGCACGAAGGUGGGCUAAUCACGGUUGGACAUCGUGAGGUUAGUGCAAUGGCAUAAGCCCGGAUACCCUGGUAGUCCACGCCGUAAACGAUGUCUACUUGGAGGUUGUGCCUUGAGCCGUGGCUUUCGGAGCUAACGCGUUAAGUAGACCGCCUGGGGAGUACGGUCGCAAGAUUAAAACUCAAAUGAAUUGACGGGGGCCCGCACAAGCGGUGGAGCAUGUGGUUUAAUUCGAUGCAACGCGAAGAACCUUACCUACUCUUGACAUCCAGAGAACUUUCCAGAGAUGGAUUGGUGCCUUCGGGAACUCUGAGACAGGUGCUGCAUGGCUGUCGUCAGCUCGUGUUGUGAAAUGUUGGGUUAAGUCCCGCAACGAGCGCAACCCUUAUCCUUGUUUGCCAGCGAGUAAUGUCGGGAACUCCAAGGAGACUGCCGGUGAUAAACCGGAGGAAGGUGGGGACGACGUCAAGUCAUCAUGGCCCUUACGAGUAGGGCUACACACGUGCUACAAUGGCGCAUACAGAGGGCAGCCAACUUGCGAAAGUGAGCGAAUCCCAAAAAGUGCGUCGUAGUCCGGAUUGGAGUCUGCAACUCGACUCCAUGAAGUCGGAAUCGCUAGUAAUCGUGGAUCAGAAUGCCACGGUGAAUACGUUCCCGGGCCUUGUACACACCGCCCGUCACACCAUGGGAGUGGGCUGCAAAAGAAGUAGGUAGUUUAACCUUCGGGGGGACGCUUACCACUUUGUGGUUCAUGACUGGGGUGAAGUCGUAACAAGGUAGCGCUAGGGGAACCUGGCGCUG
rnacentral:rRNA from 1 species